AGUUUGUAUCAUGGCUCAGUAUCUACGCUGGCGGCGUGCCUAACACAUGCAAGUCGAACGAGAAAGUGGAGCAAUCCAUGAGUAAAGUGGCGCACGGGUGAGUAACACGUGACUAACCUACCCUUGAGUGGGGGAUAACUGAGGGAAACCUUAGCUAAUACCGCAUAAUACCUACGGGUCAAAGGAGCAAUUCGCUUAAGGAGGGGGUCGCGGCCGAUUAGUUAGUUGGCGGGGUAAUGGCCCACCAAGACGAUGAUCGGUAUCCGGCCUGAGAGGGCGCACGGCCACACUGAAACUGAAACACGGUCCAGACUCCUACGGGAGGCAGCAGUGGGGAAUUUUGCGCAAUGGGGGAAACCCUGACGCAACAACGCCGAGUGGAGGAUGAAGUCCUUCUGGACGUAAACUCCUUUCGAUCGGGACGAUUAUGACGCUACCGGAAGAAGAAGCCCCGGCUAACUUCGUGCCAACAGCCGCGGUAAUUCGAGGGGGGCGAGCGUUGUUUCGGAAUUAUUGGGAGUAAAGGGUGCGUAAGGCGGU
rnacentral:rRNA from 1 species